rnacentral:misc_RNA from 1 species
UUUUUUUUUUUUUUUUUUUUUACAAUUUUUCAAUCACAAUUUUUUUAUACAUCAUUUUUUUUAUCUAAAUAUGCAAAACUACUAAUAAAAUGAUUGAAAUAUAACUAUAAUUGCUGGAACAAUCAGUUCAACACAACAAUUGCUUAAAAUUGUAGAAUGUGGUUCUGAGAGACAUUUUAUCAAAUACCAAUAUGUAAUCAGUUGUAUUGCUUCGAAAACUUUAACAAUAAUAUCAAAACCUAGCAAUGGAAAUCAAUAAAUCAGAUUGUCAAAGGACACGCACAAACUAACAAAUUAUUAGAUGAAACUGAAGCAAAAACGUGCAAAGAAACUCAAAAGACAAAUGAAUUUGGUAGGCAGAGAAAGAACGACAAAGAACAACCAACACAAGGAAAUCCAAGAGACAAAAACUUCACACAAUAGAAAUUAAUAUCCAAAAACAAAUUAAAUUAAAUUAACAAUCAAAGAAAUAAGGAUAACCAUCCUGAUUAGAGACCCAAAGCUCUGAUAUCAAAAUAAUGAGAACCACAAUGUACUUGCCAAGGAACCCCUAAAAUAUUUAAUCCAAUCCCUAGAACCCUCACAACCAGAUUCUUCUACUUGAAAUCACUUAACCCAAAACCAACCUUGCAGUAGAGAACCAAGCGAAUAGUUCAAAUAGGAAAAGCAAAUGAUUCAAGACCCAUUAUCAACCUAUGGUAGAGAACCAAGAAUAUCAAAUAAUUAAUUCUUGAAAGCCAAUCAGACUUGUCAAGAAGAGAAACUUUAUGAAGAACAAUAAAGGAGAAAACUCUCUCAAUAAUUAAUUGAUAAUCAAAAGCUAUCAAAAAUACAUGAAACAUAAGUAUUUAUAGGUGGCAGCUAAUACAACUUAUAAAACCCUAAAAAAAAUCAAUUAAUUACAAAGAAACCAAGCAAAAUCAUCCAAAAAAGUGAGCCACAAAGUCUACACGCCCAGGGCAUGUGCCUCCCUUCAUUUCACGCCCUGGGUGUGAAGGCAACGGCAAGAAAAUUGCAAUUCUUCCUUUAGAACUUGACUCACGCCCAGGGUGUGCGCCUUUUCAUUUUCACGCCCUGGCCGUGAGAUCCUCAACCAUUAGAAAUUUCAAGUGCUCUUUUUUGUGCAAUACACACCCAAGCCAUAUUGACCCUCCCAUUUCAUGCCCAGGCUGUGAAAGCUAUGGCUCUUUGAUGUUUUUAGAGAAAUUUGGCAAUUUUGACACUUAAAAGGUAAUUAUGGUUAGCCUUAUAUAUGGUGAUCUCCAUUCAUGCACAAUUGAACCAAUAUAAGCCAUUUGACUUCUUUACGCAUGCCAAGUUUGUCAAUCUCCACUUGAAUCAUUCCUUGAAGAACUUCCUUGAAACUUGGUGCUCUCAUGAUCACAUCAUCCAUACCUGCUAGGAAUUUUUGUGCACCGCAAUAGUGGCACCAUUUGUGGAAAAUGAUACAAAAAAGUUGUCUCUCCCUCUCUAUGUCUGUUAGAAAAACUAGAUUCGACCACCUUUCUAGUUUUUAUUUGAUUUUAAAAUGGGACAUGGGAUCAAAUUCAAGUGGAUGGCUUAUGGUUUAUUACAACCUAGUCAAUACAAUAUGUCAUUGAUGCUCAAGAAUUCUUUGAAAAUACCUUAAGAUUAGUCAGUUUAUUUUUCUUCUGCCUUAUUUUGUCCAAAUAACAAUUGAAUAAAAUGUUUUGGCUAAAUGUUUUUUGUGUUAUUUUAUCUGAGUUCCAAGCCCAUAUAAGAUGUUGAUUUUAAAUAUCAAAACUUGAAUACAUUAGGAAAUUAAUUUCUUUUACACUCAUUUAGAAUUGGACUUUUUGAACCCAACAUAGAGUGCCUUGGUUUAGUCCUGCAUUAGUUGUCUGGGAAAAAACUAGAGCAGCAUGUCGUCGUUGCGUCUUUUGCCAACUUGAGGAAGAAGAAGCUCACGAAUAGACAACCUUGUUUUUGGCUUAAUUUUGUUUUUGCCAAAGAGUAAAGUAUCCUUAGUUUUGCUUUAUUAUUUCAACAUUGCCACCAUUGAUUUGCUAGUUAUAUCUUAUUUUUACUAAAUAUUUCAAAGUUUUCACCAUCUAGUUGGAUGUGAUCUUGCUUGAAUUUACACCAACCGCAUGAGCUAAAUGAAAUAAUGACAAAAAUUAUAAAUGGUAGUCUUGAAAACUUGUGAAAAUUACAAACUUACCAUGGUAAGAAUGAGAUUUGGAUUUUCUUAUAAGUAUGCCACCCUUUAUUUGUUGUAAGGGAGUCACUGAUUUUAUUUAAAAUUACAAAAAGACCAUAUCUAUGUUGUAUUGAUUUUGUUUAAAUUCACCACCAUUUCUUGACAAGUGAGAUGCCUUAUGUUAUAGUCAUAUUUUCAAAGUUGCCAUUAUUCUUUGCUAUAAAGAAAAAUCUUGACUUAUGUGCAUAGUUACAAGGAUAGCCUCUGGCCAUUGAAUGCUCAAGUUAGUUAAAUUUGCAACUUUGCUAUUGAAUAUUUGUUCAAUUAAAUUCUCAUCAAGUUGCCAUUGUUAUUAUUGCCUAUAAUUUUAUUGGAGAAUCACAGUGUGGCAUGGAGAUAUUG